CACGUAGUUAGCCGUGGCUUACUCAAGGGGUACCGUCUUCCGCUCUUCCCCCUUAAAAGAAGUUUACAACCCGAAAGCCUUCUUCCUUCACGCGGCGUUGCUGGGUCAGACUUGCGUCCAUUGCCCAAUAUUCCCCACUGCUGCCUCCCGUAGGAGUCUGGGCCGUAUCUCAGUCCCAAUGUGGCCGGCCAACCUCUCAGUCCGGCUACUGAUCGUCGCCUUGGUGGGCCGUUACCUCACCAACUAGCUAAUCAGACGCGAGGCCAUCUUCCAGCGAUAAAUCUUUGACGUCAGAGUCAUGCGGCUCCAACGCAUCAUGCGGUAUUAGCAGUCGUUUCCAACUUGUUCGUCCCCCUCUGGAAGGCAGGUUCCUCACGCGUUACUCACCAGUCCGCCACUAAGCAUUCCCAUCCGUUGUCCGAAAACUCCUUCAGGGGUGCUCCGUUCGACUUGCAUGUGUUAAGCACGCCCGCCAGCGUUCGUCCUGAGUCCAGGACUACGAAACUCCU
rnacentral:rRNA from 1 species